rnacentral:rRNA from 1 species
GCUAUUUUUCACUUAGCUUAGUUUAGCUUAUAUACCGCCGUCAAAACCUUCUCUAAAUACCUUCUUUCUAACUAUAAUGCAACCUCAGGUCAAGGUAUAGCUUAUAACUAAGCAUAAAUAAGUUACUAUAAAACAAAUUUAUGGACUUAGUAACAAAUUACAGCUUAAACAGGAUUUAACUACAAUUAGUUAAUAAUAAUAAUUAAACAUGAACAUGCUUUUAAC